rnacentral:rRNA from 1 species
GACGUAGGAUGCAAGCGUUGUCCGGAUUUAUUGGGCGUAAAGCGUUCGUAGGUGGUUUGUUAAGUCUGAUGUUAAAGACCGGGGCUCAACCUCGGAAGUGCAUUGGAUACUGGCAGACUCGAGUAUGGUAGAGGCGAGUGGAAUUCCCAGUGUAGCGGUGAAAUGCGUAGAUAUUGGGAAGAACACCGGUGGCGCAAGCGACUCGCUGGGCCAUUACUGACACUGAGGAACGAAAGCUAGGGGAGCAAAUGGG